AACGAACGCUGGCGGCAUGCCUAACACAUGCAAGUCGAACGAAGGCUUCGGCCUUAGUGGCGCACGGGUGCGUAACGCGUGGGAAUCUGCCCUUUGGUUCGGAAUAACAGCUGGAAACGGCUGCUAAUACCGGAUGAUGACGAAAGUCCAAAGAUUUAUCGCCAGAGGAUGAGCCCGCGUUGGAUUAGGUAGUUGGUGGGGUAAAGGCCUACCAAGCCGACGAUCCAUAGCUGGUCUGAGAGGAUGAUCAGCCACACUGGGACUGAGACACGGCCCAGACUCCUACGGGAGGCAGCAGUGGGGAAUAUUGGACAAUGGGCGCAAGCCUGAUCCAGCAAUGCCGCGUGAGUGAUGAAGGCCCUAGGGUUGUAAAGCUCUUUUAACCGAGAAGAUAAUGACUGUACCGGGAGAAUAAGCCCCGGCUAACUCCGUG
rnacentral:rRNA from 1 species